ACGAACGCUGGCGGCAGGCCUAACACAUGCAAGUCGAACGCUACCUUCGGGUGGAGCGGCGGACGGGUUAGUAACGCGUGGGAAUAUACCCAGUUCUAAGGAAUAGCCACUGGAAACGGUGAGUAAUACCUUAUACGCCCUUCGGGGGAAAGAUUUAUCGGUAAAGGAUUAGCCCGCGUUAGAUUAGAUAGUUGGUGGGUAACGCCUACCAAGUCUACGAUCUAUAGCUGAUUUGAGAGGAUGAUCAGCAACACUGGGACUGAGACACGGCCCAGACUCCUACGGGAGGCAGCAGUGGGGAAUAUUGG
rnacentral:rRNA from 1 species